rnacentral:lncRNA from 1 species
UAAAAGCGCAGGUCCCCGCCUCGGCAGCCACGGGACACCUGCAUCUGCCAACAAGACUGGAAGCAGGUGAGGCACACAGAGGGGGAGGCCCGCAGCUGCGUGGGAGGAGGGGUGGUCUGAGGGACGUGGGAUGCCGGGAAUGAGGCUGGUUUGCAGGUUGGCGCAUGGACAUUUUCCCAGAAAGGGACAGAGACGGCGAAGUUUGACGGUCUGGAAAGCAGAGACCAGCAGGGCUGACUGCUUGGGAGGCACCAAAUAUCCGGACAGCGCCUCUCGGGAGGUCCGAGAAGAGAACCGCGAUCUGUUUCAGCACCGGGGCUCAGGACAGUUCCCAGCGGGCUCCGUUUCGUCUCCAGAACCCUGGACAGCUCCUCCAGGCUUGGAAUGCACUCCCUCCACCUCCAACCAGAGCUCCCCACAACUGACCCUGCCUUCUUCUGCAAGCUCCAUUUCAUCAAGGGAAACGAUCCUUAUUGCCUCACCAUUUCCCACGUGAAGUCUGUAUUGACAUUCUCAUAGACCUGGGAUAUUGUGUCUGCAGCACAUAGUCCAAUUAUUUUCAUGUUAUCUACUGACAGGUCUAUUUGUCUCCCUGUUACACUGUGAGCUCCGUGAGGGCAGAAACAAUGUUAGUAUUUUCACUGCUGUGUCCCCAGCGCCUGGUCCGGGGCCCGGCACACAGCAGGCAUAUAAUAAGCAUGUGUUGAAUCAAUAAAGGCAUCAAAGAAUAAACCAAUACAUCAAUCAAUAAAUGAAUGAAUGGCCUCAGCA